GAUUCCCCUAGUAACGGCGAGUGAAGCGGGAAGAGCUCAAAUUUGUAAUCUGGCAGUCUUCGGCUGUCCGAGUUGUAGUCUGGAGAAGCGUCUUCCGUGUUGGACCGUGUACAAGUCCCCUGGAACGGGGCGUCGUAGAGGGUGAGAAUCCCGUCUCUGACACGGACUGCCGAUACUAUGUGAUGCGCUCUCGAAGAGUCGAGUUGUUUGGGAAUGCAGCUCAAAAUGGGUGGUAAAUUCCAUCUAAAGCUAAAUAUUGGCGAAAGACCGAUAGCGAACAAGUACCGUGAGGGAAAGAUGAAAAGCACUUUGGAAAGAGAGUUAAACAGUACGUGAAAUUGUUGAAAGGGAAACGCUUGAAGUCAGUCGCGUCUUCCGGGACUCAGUCCGGGCUCUUCUGCCCGACGCACUCUUCCCGGUGUGAUGGGCCAGUGUCGAUUUCGACCGUCGGAGAAAGGCUCUGGGAAUGUGGCACCUCCGGGUGUGUUUAUAGCCCUGGGUCGUAUACGACGGUCGGGAUCGAGGAUCGCAGCAUGCCCCCCUCACAAGGGGCCGGGGUUCGCCCACGUAACGUGCUUAGGAUGCUGGCGUAAUGGCUUUAAGCGACCCGUCUUGAA
rnacentral:rRNA from 1 species